rnacentral:rRNA from 1 species
UACAGAGGGUGCGAGCGUUGUCCGGAAUCACUGGGCGUAAAGGGCGCGUAGGUGGUGGCUUAAGCGUGCGGUGAAAGCUCGGGGCUCAACCCCGAGUCGGCCGUGCGAACUGGGCUCACUGGAGCAUAGUAGAGGCAGGUGGAAUUCCGGGUGUAGCGGUGGAAUGCGUAGAGAUCCGGAGGAACACCAGUGGCGAAGGCGGCCUUCUGGGUCGACCCUGACGCUGAGAGGCGAAAGCGUGGGGAGCGAACGGG